rnacentral:tRNA from 1 species
CAGAGAAUAGUUUAAUUAAAAUAUUAGUUUUGGGGAUUAAUGAUAGGGGCAUUCCUCUUUCUCUGA